UUUGCUGGUCAGUAUGAUCCCA
rnacentral:siRNA from 1 species